ensembl:ncRNA B0395.8 ncRNA
GGAUAUGCUUGUUUCUGUAUGCCCAUCUCGCCCAUUUCACCUCUAUUUUCCCUCAUC